AGUAAGAGGGUUCAUACAAUUCCAAGAAUAUAAAAAUUAAAUACAUAAAACCCGUGUCCCUUUGUUAGGGCUGCAUCCAGCCCUAGUGAAGAGCUUAGGCUUCUAUGCAGUGGUGGACGGCAACAGCAGCACAGCAGCGGGCUCCCAUUGCUUCCUUCUCUUCCUCCGGCGACUCCCCUACGAAUGUGGACUUCAUUAUUUCUUCAUAUGGGAAGUUAUUCCCGAAAUGCCCAAAAUUCUCUCCCUCUUAUUUUUGUGGGAAUUUGGCUGGUAACCCAAGCUUGCUUUCUCCCGGUGAAGCUUCCUCCUUUUAUAGCUGCAAUCUCCCCCUCUCUCCUCCUUCCAAGUCAAGAUAAAGAUGGAUCAACGGCUGCCAACUCCCCCUAGCUCCUCCUUCCGAGUGCAGGAUAAGGAUGAAGACGCGGUGGGUAUCUUGCGGAUGGCUGGAACGAGCUGGGUGCAGGUGAUGCAGAGAAGAUCUUGGAGGUGACGUGGAGAUUGGAGCUCUGUUUCGAAGCAGAGGAAGUCGUGGAAGACACGGGAUGGCACUCACGGCUGAGAGGAUCUCGGCUGAUAGCUGAGAG
rnacentral:lncRNA from 1 species